rnacentral:rRNA from 1 species
GAGUAACCUGUCCUGUAAUCGAUAGUCCACGUUAAUUUGACCUAAAUUUGAAUAUCAGCUUGUAUAUCGCUGUCGUAAGAUUAUUUUAUAAGAAAUUUUUCUUUAAUAAUUGUUUAUUUAUGACAAGUCAAGGUGCAGUAUAUGUUUAGGGUUGAGAUGGGUUACAAUUUUUGUAAGAAUAUGGAUUGAGAUUUGUAAUAGUCUUAURAAGGUGGAUUUAAUUGUAAUGUGAAAAUAAAAUUUUUAUAUGGAAAAGUACUAAUAUAUG